rnacentral:rRNA from 1 species
GUGUCAGCAGCCGCGGUAAAACGUAGGAGGCGAGCGUUAUCCGGAGUUACUGGGCGUAAAGCGCGUGUAGGUGGCUGGUUGCGUCUGCUGUGAAAUGUCCCGGCUUAACCGGGAGGAUGCGGCAGAUACGGGCCAGCUCGAGGGUGACAGAGGAGCGUAGAAUUCCGGGUGUAGUGGUGAAAUGCGUAGAGAUCCGGAGGAAUACCAGUGGCGCAAGCGGCGCUCUGGGUCGAGCCUGACACUGAGACGCGAAGGCAUGGGGAGCGAACGGGAUUAGAAACCCGUGUAGUCC